rnacentral:rRNA from 1 species
CCUAGGGGGUAUUGCACCUACCGAAGACUAUCAAACUCCGAAUGCCGUCAUCUUAUACUUGGGAGUCAGACUGUGGGUGAUAAGAUUCAUAGUCGAAAGGGCAACAGCCCAGAUCGUCAGCUAAGGUCCCUAAAUGUAAGUUAAGUGGUAAAGGAUGUGGGAUUGCACAGACAACCAGGAUGUUGGCUUAGAAGCAGCCACUCAUUCAAAGAGUGCGUAAUAGCUCACUGGUCGAGUGAUCCUGCGCCGAAGAUUUCCGGGGCUAAAACUUACUACCGAAGCUACGGCAUCAGUAAUGAU